GAUGAACGCUGGCGGCGUGCCUAAUACAUGCAAGUCGAGCGAACAGACGAGGAGCUUGCUCCUCUGACGUUAGCGGCGGACGGGUGAGUAACACGUGGAUAACCUACCUAUAAGACUGGGAUAACUUCGGGAAACCGGAGCUAAUACCGGAUAAUAUAUUGAACCGCAUGGUUCAAUAGUGAAAGACGGUUUUGCUGUCACUUAUAGAUGGAUCCGCGCCGCAUUAGCUAGUUGGUAAGGUAACGGCUUACCAAGGCAACGAUGCGUAGCCGACCUGAGAGGGGGAUCGGCGACACGGGAACGGAGACACGGUCCAGAGUCCUACGGGAGGCAGCAGUAGGGAAUCUGCCGCAAUGGGCGAAAGCCUGACGGAGCAACGCGGCGUGAGUGAUGAAGGUCUUCGGAUCGUAAAACUCUGUUAUUAGGGAAGAACAAAUGUGUAAGUAACUAUGCACGUCUUGACGGUACCUAAUCAGAAAGCCACGGCUAACUACGUG
rnacentral:rRNA from 1 species